UACGAAGGGUGCAAGCGUUAAUCGGAAUUACUGGGCGUAAAGGGUCCGUAGGCGGCCCCGUAAGUCAGUGGUGAAAUCUCCCGGCUCAACCGGGAAAUUGCCAUUGAUACUGCAGGGCUUGAAUUAUUGGGAAGUAACUAGAAUAUGUAGUGUAGCGGUGAAAUGCUUAGAUAUUACAUGGAAUACCGAUUGCGAAGGCAGGUUACUAUCAAUACAUUGACGCUGAUGGACGAAAGCGUGGGUAGCGAACAGG
rnacentral:rRNA from 1 species